rnacentral:lncRNA from 1 species
UGAUGGAAUGGCCUGCAAUAAAAACCCUCAUCAAGGCCCCAAGUCACCACAGUGGUUUUCGAGGUGCGAUGUGGUUAAGAUUGUUGAUGGGACACGAGAUCACCUCGAUAAAAUUUGAGGUACAAUAGCAGUACUGAUGAGACACGAGGCCACCUUGACAAAAUCCGAGGAGGAACUCCUAAGAAGUCAUCACAAAGCCCCUCGAAGAUGAGUCGACCAU